UUGAACGCUGGCGGCAUGCCUUACACAUGCAAGUCGAGCGGCAGCGCGGGGGCAACCCUGGCGGCGAGCGGCGAACGGGUGAGUAAUACAUCGGAACGUGUCCAGUUGUGGGGGAUAACCAGUCGAAAGAUUGACUAAUACCGCAUACGAUCCACGGAUGAAAGCGGGGGACCGCAAGGCCUCGCGUUAUUGGAGCGGCCGAUGUCGGAUUAGCUAGUUGGCGGGGUAACGGCCCACCAAGGCGACGAUCCGUAGCUGGUCUGAGAGGACGACCAGCCACACUGGAACUGAGACACGGUCCAGACUUUUAUGGGAGGUAGCAGUGGGGAAUUUUGGACAAUGGGCGCAAGUCUGAUCCAGCCAUGCCGCGUGAGUGAAGAAGGUCUUCGGGUUGUAAAGCUCUUUUGGUGGGGACGAAACGGUCCGUGACAACACCACGGACUAAUGACGGUACUCGCAGAAGAAGCACCGGCUAACUACGU
rnacentral:rRNA from 1 species